rnacentral:rRNA from 1 species
AUUGAACGCUGGCGGCAGGCCUAACACAUGCAAGUCGAGCGGAUGAAGGGAGCUUGCUCCUUGAUUCAGCGGCCGACGGUUGUGUAAUGCCUAGGAAUCUGCCUCGUAUUGGGGGAUAACGUCCUUAAACGGGCGCUAAUACCGCAUACAUCCUUAGGGAGAAAUUGGUGGAUCUUCUGACCUCACUCUAUCAGAUGAGCCUAGGUCGGAUUUGCUAGUUGGUGGGGUAAAGUCCUACCAAGGCGACUAUCCGUAACUGGUCUGAGAGGAUGAUCAGUCAGACGGGAAGAGAGACAGGGAACAGACACCUACGGGAGGAAGCAGUGGGGAAUAUUGGAGAAGGGGGGAAAGGAGGAUACAGCAAAGCGGAGUGUGAGAAGAAGGACUUAGGAUUGGAAAGAAAAGUAAGUUGGGAGGAAGGGAAGUAAGUUAAUAAGUUGAUGUUAUGACGUUACCAAAAGAAUAAGCACCGGCUAACUACGUG